UUUAAAUACAACCAUAAAUUUCUGUGUCUAACAUCAUCUAUCUUACUUAAAUUUUUUAUGAUUAAUAAAUUUAUUGUUAUUAGAUGAUAAAAUAUGAAUAAUCCUUAUGCGUGACUUAUUUUUAAUUUUUUUAUAAUUUUUUUAAAUAAAACAGAUGGUCAAAUAUUUAACACGGAAACUCAUAGCUAUACUUAAA
rfam:Oryza sativa Japonica Group DNA, chromosome 12, cultivar: Nipponbare, complete sequence.